AUGAGGAGCAUUCACACAACCUCAUAAAGCUGACCUUAGAGUUCUGUUCAUCCAAACCCCUGAUUUCCUACCCAAACUGGGGAAGGCCUCAAAGGGAAGUGAAUGAUGAGCACAACUUCCCCAGGUUAAGAAGCCACUCCAAGGCAGACUGGGUUGAGGAGACUGGUCUAAUGCUUUGGAACAUAUCGCAGUGUGUUGUGCUGCCACUUCCCAGGGAGCAACAGUGCACUGAAAAUGGGAAAAACAAUGAUCCCCGUGUGUGGGGAAAAAAGAACUCUGGAAAUCACCUCCAAACCUUGGGGUCUCCAAAGCUCCUGCUAUUUGGAAAGUAAUUCAUUCCCUCUUCCUUUGCCAGAACACCAUUAAAUAGCUGCCUGGGCAGAGGGAUGGAGCCCUCCCUGAGCUGCCUGAGUACCU